rnacentral:rRNA from 1 species
CGGUGGGCACUAGUUGUGGGAACCUUCCAACGGUUUCUGCGACGCAGCUAACGCAUUAAGUGCCCCGCCUGGGGAGUACGAUCGCAAGAUUAAAACUCAAAGGAAUUGACGGGGCCCCGCACAAGCAGCGGAGCAUGCGGCUUAAUUCGACGCAACGCGAAGAACCUAACCAAGGCUUGACAUAUAGGGAAAAGUGGCAGAGAUGUCAUGUCCGCAAGGGCCCUAUACAGGUGGUGCAUGGUUGUCGUCAGCUCGUGUCGUGAGAUGUUGGGUUAAGUCCCGCAACGAGCGCAACCCUCGUUCUGUGUUGCCAGCAUUUAGUUGGGGACUCACAGGAGACUGCCGGGGUUAACUCGGAGGAAGGUGGGGAUGACGUCAAAUCAUCAUGCCCCUUAUGUCUUGGGCUGCACACAUGCUACAAUGGACGGUACAGAGGGCUGCAAUACCGUAAGGUGGAGCGAAUCCCAAAAAGCCGGUCUCAGUUCGGAUUGAGGUCUGCAACUCGACCUCAUGAAGUUGGAGUUGCUAGUAAUCGUAGAUCAGCAUCGCUACGGUGAAUACGUUCCCGGGGCUUGUACACACCGCCCGUCACGUCACGA